rnacentral:lncRNA from 1 species
CCUGCAAGAUGAAACCAAAACGUUUCCUCUUCUACGGUUUAUUGUUUUCUUCAAUCAAUUAGCUUUCAAAUUUGCUUGUAGCUCAUCAAAAUGAAACAUUUACGGGACUAACGAAGCAGAACAGAGUCAAGAGACAAAACACACAUAACAAGAAACCUAAUCACAACAUACACAAUUCGAAGAAUCAAUCACAAAGUAAAGUUCUUACUAGACCAGCUUAAAAACGUUUCUUCAAUCAAUUUCGUUCAAAUUGAAACCUUUACGGAACUAACUGAAGCAGAACAGUAUCAAAAAUGUCAUGCCUGUAAAACAUUCUUGUUCUGCACACACACACAAAGAUAUACCACAAGAAAAAAACACACAACAACAACAUCAAAUCCAAUCACAAACACACAAAAUUCAAAAACUCAAUCACAAAACCACAAAGUAAAGUUUCUCCUUUUCCGGUUUACCUAUUCUAGAAUCAAUUUGGUUUCAAAGUUGAAACCUUUACAGGACUAAUUGAAGCAGAACA